GACGUAGGGUCCAAGCGUUAUCCGGAUUUACUGGGCGUAAAGCGCGCGUAGGCGGUCUGUUAAGUGCACAAGUGAAAGCUCCGGGCUCAACUCGGAAAUUGCUUUGCAUACUGGCAGGCUGGAGGGACGCAGAGGUCUGUGGAAUUCCUGGUGUAACGGUGAAAUGUGUUGAUAUCAGGAGGAACACCCGUGGCGAAGGCGGUCAGACUGG
rnacentral:rRNA from 1 species